CUAAGCAUGAAGCCCCCCUCAAGAUGAGAUUUCCCAUUCCGCAAGGAAGUAAGAUCCCUGAAAGAUGAUCAGGUUGAUAGGUCUGAGGUGGAAGUGUGGCGACACAUGGAGCUGACAGAUACUAAUCGAUCGAGGACUUAACCA
rnacentral:rRNA from 1 species